UACGUAGGUGGCAAGCGUUGUCCGGAUUUACUGGGCGUAAAGAGCGCGCAGGCGGCUGGUCAAGUCCGAUGUGAAAUCUCCCGGCUUAACUGGGAAACUGCAUCGGAAACUGAUCGGCUUGAAGGUGGGAGAGGGUAGUGGAAUUCCCGGUGUAGUGGUGAAAUGCGUAGAUAUCGGGGGGAACACCAGUGGCGAAGGCGACUACCUGGCCCAUUCUUGACGCUGAGGCGCGAAAGCUAGGGGAGCGAACGGG
rnacentral:rRNA from 1 species